GUCCACCGUCGCCCUCAGGCUUGCUCUGGAGGUUGCAUUCUGGUUUUUGUGAAGCGUCUUGAGACAAUUUGUAUUGUUAUUGGCGCUAUAUAAAUAAAACUGAAUUGAAUUGAAUGACAUUGACCACUGUGAAACAAACCCGUAUUGUGUGCUCCCUUACCUCUCCAACAGUUGUACGUGCACUAUCUGGCUUCUGGUUACGAAGUGCUGCACACACAGUCUUCAGUCAGGAUGACAUGCACCGCAACAUCUUCAGAAGGCCUCUGGUUUUCACGUACUGUCGCACCCUCUUAGAUACAAAUCACCUAUGUCCUCCACACCGGCGUUCCGACCUGGCACGCCCACAUUGUGGGCACAUGUCCAUACGUCGGCCACAUACGUACAUGUGCCCACUAUACAUUGGUAUGUAUAGUACAUUGGUAUGUUAAUGUUCCAGACAUUACACACGUACAAACAACACCCAUCACUCAACUAUACACGCCAGGUAGACAGGCCCCCUGUUACAUCCGUUGGAGCAAUUAUCAUAGUCCCAUAACAGCUACCGACCACUAUGUGUUUGGCAACGGGAAUCUUACAAAUGUUGACCUAUAAACAUAUAAAUUACAUUCCCAGAUGCCGCUCAUUCACCGCGUAAGUGCUAUUACUUUUCGUGCUGAUAUAUUAUUUUCUGUCAUGCAAGUUGUAAAAAACUGCCAGAAAUUUCCCCAUACACAUGAAUGGGACAGCGGGCGGGCGGCCAUUUCGCCAGCGCGCAAUGCAUUCUGGGGUCUUAGUUUCUGCCGCUUCUCCUGUGUGUUUUGGCAUUGGAAUCUCAUAAAUUUUGUCCUAUAAACAUGUAAAUUACAUUCCCAGAUGCCGCUCUUCCACCACAUUAGUGCUAUUGCUUGUCUUGCUGAAAUAUUAAUUUUUCGCGACGUAAGUUGUUUGUUUCUGAACUGUCCGUGCUGUUUUAGUUCAUGCCGGUCGGUCUUCUCCCUCUCUCCCCCUCCCCUCGGAGAGAGCCCGGUGGUCACCUGUUCGCCCAGCCUUUGAAACGUGUACCACACGUUUCAUGUCUUUACGUUCGUUGCAUUAUGUCCCAAUCACAAUCAGUGGGAGAGUAAGCAGCACUUGUGUUUAGUGUUAUUUGUUAUUUUGUUCAACUUUAACGAUACACAACAGCUCGGACAAGAAACUGCUUCAGAGCGAACGACCGGAGAAUUCACUCAGCAGUGCGCAUGCGCACCCCUGAAUAAAGUAACACGCGCGCCUCUAAUUAGGGCCCGGCAGAUGGCGCUCGUUGGUACUGCAACAAUUUACUGACUGUAUUAGUGAACUGAGGCAGAGGUCUAUCAACGAUUACAAUCAUCAUUACUCACUGAAUUCUCAACCGAUUUUUUUAAUCCCUUUGGUUUAUUAGAAAUGUCUGACAUAUAUUUAUGCUACUAUAUAAAUUGGUCCAAUUGAAAAUGCAGAUCAUGUGCAACGCCAUUGAAAGGCUUGUAGGCAUUUAUAAAAACGGAUUGAUAUUAAUAAUCAACACAGUGUUAAUGAUAUAUUUAAUAAUAACACACUACAGUUCAUGAUGUAAUGAUCACAAUUGCUCUCUUAUCCUUACAUAAGCUAGUAGCAACAUACAUCAAUUUAAUUUUCCGAAGCUUUACACAUACAUUCCAUAGCAGUCCAUAGCAGUUACAUGAUAUAAAACAUCUUCAUCAAAUUAGGAACAUUUAACAAGACAUCUACGGACAUAAGCAUGUACAUUUACUUGGAGUUACAUCGGCGAUCAUUGCUACAUCCACACACGGCACAUCGAUUGUAUCCAGUCAUUGUUAUGAAUGCAAAUGAGGAUUAUUUUAUAUAACCCAGAGACUCUCGUUACAAACACAUGUCGGCGGAAAACUACGCAUCCAACAAUGCAUUGCGUGAUUCCCAAGCUGGCCGCCGCAAUGUGCGUGUCUGCGCAAAUUUCCACAGGUGUGGCGGGUGAAUCGGCAGAAGGCAUUCACAGUGCAUUUCUGCAAGAAAUGCAAAUUGCUUCUAGUUUCUUUUCAUUUGAACCGUUGACGGCCGGGUUUUUUGCUUCUCCCCAUGGCGUCAUCUUGCUGCAUGGAGUCCAUAACUGCUUGGACCCCUCAUUGCUGCAUGCAGCUAUAUUUAUUAUUAUUAUUAUUCCGCUUUCUUCUGCCAUUGGAGUCUAUGGCAGCCCAUAGAACCGUAUGGUAAACAGUCGUGAAAUUUUGCACAUCGCUUAAGGACAGUAAUAUUUAAUGUGACUGAGUUACAUGUUGCCAGUAAGUACGCUCUAGCGCCACCAACGGGUCAAUGUUGGAGGUACAUUUGCGUACGUAACUUUUGAACGAUACGCCCGAAAUUUACAAACAAGGUAUCCUUGUGAUCCUUGGAUCAUGCUGAGUUCAGCCUACCAUGUGACGUCAUGAUACGUCAUGAUCUUGGAUCUUGGAUUUUGUCACAACCUCCAAAAGUUUUCACGGGUCGCAAAUUUUGUCCGAUUCUCACGAAAAGCGGCACAGACUAUCUUCAGACCAAGCCGCACAAAAGUUACUAGAUGGGUUUUUUAAUUUCCACUUUGUUCUUCCAUUGCGGCCAAUCGAUGUGAGCUCAUAUCUGGGCAAUGGUGUGACAUAUUGACAUCACAUUUGGUAUUAUGGGUCGUGACAUGGUCCUAAGUGGACACCAUGAAUUUGGUGUCGUUUGGCCACUGGGGGGCGCUGUAAUUAAAAAACAAGGUUUUUGCUGAUAUCUGUUGAUGGGUUUAUAUUUGAAAUGACUUUGUGACAUACACAGGUACUGUUGGGUGCCCCAUUGAUAGUUCAUGCCAACUUUUCAUGUAAGCCGCUCGUUGUCAGUGGCGGUGCCGCUAAACAGGACGUUUGCUCUUAUUUCGGCCAAACUUGGUCGGACUCUUCGGGACUCCCUCCGAAAUGCGCAGGAAAAAUUUGGUGUCAUUCGGCCACUAGGGGGCGCUGUAAUUAACAAAUUGCGUUUUUGCUCUUUUCUCUUGACGUGUUAGGAUUUCAGAGUAGAUUUCCAUGUCUGCUGAUACUGUGGAAUGUCCCCUUCAGGAUCUGGCAAAACUUUUCACGCAAUUGCAAGAAUUUGUCCGCCAUAUUGGAUUUUGUCAAAAACCUUUAAAAGGAUUCACGGGGCGCAAAUUUAUUCGGAUUCUCACGAAAAUCGGCACAGACUAUCUUCAGACCAAGCCGCACAAAAGUUAGUAGAUGGGUUUUUUAAUUUCUACUUCGUUCAUCUGCUGCAGCCAAUCAAAAUCAGCAGCGAAGGCGCCGUUUUGGAUGUGAGCUCAUAUCUUUGCAAUAGUGUGACAUAUUGUCAUCACAUUUGGCAUUAUGGGUCCUGACCCGGUCCCAAGUGAACAUGAUGAAUUUGGUGCCAUUUGGCCUCCAGGGGGCGCUGUAAUUAGAAAAACAUGUUAUUUUUUCUCAUAUCUCUUGAUGGGUUUAUAUUUGAAAUAACUUUGUGACAUCCACAGGUACUGAUGGGUGCCCCAUUGAUAGUUCAUGCCAACUUUUCAUAUUAGCCAAUUGUUGUUGGCAGCGACACCACCAAACAGGAAGUUUGCUCGUAUCUCGGCGACACUUUGACUUCUGAAGACCAAACUUGGUCGGACGCUUCGGGACUCCCUCCGAAAUGUGCAAUAAAAAUUUGGUGUCAUUCGGGCACUAGGGGGCGCUGUAAUUAACAAAAUUGCAUUUUUGCUCUUUUCUCUUGACGUGUUAGGAUUUCAGAGUAAAUUUUCAUGUCUGCUGAAACUGUGGAAUGUCCCCUUUCAAGGUCUGGCAAAACUUUUCACGCAAUUGCAAGAAUUUUCUGUUUUUCACAAGGGUAAAAUUACCUACUGAAAACAGGCUAAAACAGGCCCUCUCAUGUGAGAGAAAUAGAGGUGGAGUCAUGCUAGCUGAACAGAGAGGGCCAUGGUGCUCCUUUCUUCUUUUUCUGUUGGCUUUGUGUAUGACUAAACGUGGCAUCUCCAAGUCACUGUUAGAAGUAAGCCUGUGUGUGUGCAUCCAGUCACCCAGUCACUGUCAGUGUUAGACAUGACAUAAGUAGACAGUUCUUUCUUUUACUCUGUUAACCUACUGAAUAAUCCCUUCUUCAGUUCUAUUGUUCAUGUGUUGGCUACCGCCACAAAGUUUUAGCUCUUUGUUGGUGUCCAUCUGCUUUAUUCUCCCAGUUGGUAACUACUGAAACUGCCACUCGUGGAGAAGAAUAGACACUAUGGCUACUGCAGUAAACAAGCUUUAAGUAGCUCUGUGUACACACAUACAGUGCAGAGAAAUGUAGACAGCAUAGAGAUGCACUGCAGAUUUAUGUUGUUUUUUUUUCUCCCCCUAGUCACAUGAGUGUAUUUAUAGCUUCUGAUCCUGGAGCCAACAGAUAAAAUGCUCCCCCGUCACCACCAUGAAUUCUUUCUGCGCAGUCGGCCCUACAGGGGAGAACCACCAACAGUGGCAGGAUUUCUCCUAUAUCCAGACACUCCUGCCAGUAUGGAGACCACAUCACAGGAGGCUUUCUGCUUCAGGCCUGUCACACAACAACUCAGAGACAAAGGUCUUACGUCAUAUCUCAAUCCAGACAAUGACCGUGUUACUCAGAAUACACAUCUGGAGUUGAACUAUCCCACAUCCUCAAGACAAACACGAACAGGAAACGGCCACAAGGACAGGGAAGUGGGAGGGGAUGAGCAAGAAUGUAACCAAGAUCACACAAAGCCAACAGCCAUGAAAAAUGGUAUAACAGAGAUGCAGUCUCAAUAUCAGAAGGAUUUUCAUCCUCCAGCCUCUUGCUGCAGGAGGCGAACGCCUGCCUUCCCACAACCUGACAACAUUGGCAUCAACCCUGCCUUCAGGAUUGAGUUCAGCACAGUCCAAAGAGAGACUUACUCUGGCUGGCCUAACAUGAGUCCCAGUAGGCCCGCAGACACAAUCAAACACGACAUCUGAGGGGUAAUGUUUACUUACACUACAUGAGAAACCAGCCUGAAUCAUGUACAUCUGACAGGACAGCCUAUCCAUUUCACCUCAGACUCUCAUGUCACAUAACUCUGGUUAUUACUGGCAUUUACUAUUUGUGAUUAUGGCAGACUUCCAUCAUAAUGCUUUGCACAGCUUGUUCUUGUGAUUAUAUGACCAUUCAACAAUAAUAAUUUUUAAAAAAAUGUAUAAACCAGUUUAAAAAAAAAAUCUACCUUUUUGGGGGGCCUUUGUGGCUUAUGUGUGGAGGUUGGCAUAUAUUUUAUUGUUUUAUAAACUGGAUUAUAUGGCCGACUCAUCAGUUCAGGCAUAAAACAGGUAAAACACACAGAAGUUAAUUCUUUAGUUGCUAUUUCCUGUUACAUCAUUGUUGGAAUGAUUCAGUCCUUUUCCACACAAACUUGUCUCAUUCAUAUCUAUGUAAUCUAAGUAAAUAAGCAUUGCAGUUCCAGGUCAAUAUGAAGAGCUAAUGGACUGAUAAUGACCACACAGGUACCAUGGAGUCACUAGAAAUCAAUGGUCUCUGGAGUCACUGGACUGAAUGAACUACUCCUAAAACCAGAGCUGUUAAUGUUUGAUAGUGAUGACAUCAGACAUAAUUUGGGAUCAGCUUGUGAAAAAAAGAGCCACCCAUAAGUGAAAUGCAAUAUGUUUAAAUGGCCAAGACAAGGAUCAGGCAACUGAACAGAAAACAAUUGGUUCUAAUUUAUGUGCAGUUUUCAUCACAACUGACUCCUUUUGAAAAUAUAUGUAACAGAUUUCAAAGGUCGAGUGUGUAGAAUUUAGUGGAGUCUAAUGCUGAGGUUGCAAUCAGCUAUAUAUCCCUCUGCCAUUUCAUGUGUGAAGCUUGGUUUAUACUUGGUAUGUACACAGAGCCUAAACCAUACUUACUUUAACAUUUAUGAGUAAUAACACAGCUAAAUUUCAUGUUGCAACUGAAAUCAAAUUUUGAACAUUUAGGAGAUUGACUUUUUAUGUUCGUCCAGCCACUCUGAUAUGUGAAUGAGGAAAGGCAUUUCAGACAGAUAAUAGCAUGUAGCUAAACUGAUGUCCGGUACAGGCCAUAAAUUUAGCUUAUGGCCCUCUCUGGAGCCAGUGCUUCGUUAUCACAGGCUAGGGAACUUUAAAAACAGCAAUAUUCAUAGUUAUAGUUCAGGGCCGUACGCAGGGCCCAAAAAAUACUGAGGUAAUGAGUCAGAACUUCUAGGCAGGUACGGGGACAUGCUCCCCUGGAUAUUUUUUUUAAAUUCCAUUAUUUAAAUCUGGCCAUUUUCAGAGUCUUAAGGAGCAAAAACAUCAUUAUUAUGACUUUUCAAUAGGUUUAUUUGUUUUGUUUGUUAUCAGAGAACAUCACCCUCAUCCUAAAUGAUUUGCAAAUGAAUCCCAUUUUAAAACUGAGAAUGAAUUCAGCCUUUUCCUCCCUAUCCUGUUUUCCCUUUAGUGAAGAUUAUAAACACACACAGUCAAAUAUUAAACUGAUAGCAAUGAAAACAAUAUGCCAUUUUAACAUCAUGUAUUCAGAUGUGUCAGCAAUCUUAUAAAACCUUGCGGAGCUUUUGAAAUUUUGAGGUAAAAACGAGGCAUUCUGAGGCUUUUUGAAGGACCAUUAUGGUGACUCAUGAAGUAAGGGCAAGUUACCACAGAAAAUUGUUUAUUAUUAUUUUGAAAAUUAACCGGAUGUUUUAUUUUGUUUCUGCGCACGACUUCUUGUCCCGCACGAUCUGCUCUGUGCCGUGUUGCUGCGUUGUGCUGGUUGUGUAUCCGGCGCAGAAAUAUAACAGGUUAAACAUCCGACAUUGAGAAAUCAACAGUGAAUAAACGUUUCAUUUCCAAUCUAAGACGUCAAUGACAUAUCAAUCGCAAAAUAAGUAAUGGAAAUUGACGACCGGUAACGUUACUGACUGAGUUAACCAAAAUGUUUCCUUGCUAUCCGAGUAGAGCAGUACGCUGGGCUGCAAUAAAAAUAUUUCCACGUGAAUUUUUUUUUUUUUCUCAUACUCAUCUACCACUUAAACUGCUCUCCACCUACAUGUUUAGCUUCAUGUGCUCCUCUUCCAGUGACUGGUGUGACUGACCGACUCACUAACGUUAGCGGUAACAACAUCAGCGUCCGACUUGUGUGUGGUAGUGGUUACCAUAGCGACAGUGCGUGUUGUUGAUUACGCACAGCACAUAUGCCCAAACUCUUGAGCUCGUUUUAUUAAACAGUCGCUCUACUCUUGGCUCAUGUUUAGCUUCAUGUGCUCCUCUUCCAGUGACUGGUGUGACUGACCGACUCACUAACGGUACUGGUAACAACAUCAGCGUCCAACUUUAGUGUGGUACUUACCAUAGCGACAGUGCGUGUUGUUGAUGACGCGUAGCACGUAUGCCCAACUCUUGGCUCUUCAAAUAUAAAAUCACCUUACGGUUUUGUGGGAGACCAAGAUCAUCGUCCUACAGUCAUUUUCACGUGUAAUUUAUUUUAAGUUCAUAUACCACAAUUUAAGCAAAAAAAAAAAAAGAAGAAAAAGAAAAAAUACCGAGGACACGACCUCGGUGUCCUCAAGGGUAGUUAUGGCCUUGUUAUAGUUAUAUAUUUACAUUUUGCUUGAAGCUACACUUGUUCCUUUACAUUUAAAUAAAAUUGCAGCAUGAUUGUACAUCAAAUAAAAAACUCAAAGGAAAUACAGAUCAUGAAUAUCUUCUUAACAUUUCAGCCACACACUGUUUAGUUUUGUAGGUUUAUAUAAUUUUUUGGUUCAUUGAUAUGUUUCUGUAUAGAUCCAAUGCUGUACGAGCUUUCAGGAGUGACUUUUGACCACGUAUGAAGUAUGGUAGAUUUAGGGAUGAAAAUGUCUUGAAAUGAACUUCAUGGAAGUUUGAAAAAAAAAAUUCAAACUUCAAGUGUUAAGAUAAGCCUUUAUUCAUCCCACAGUGAUUAAAUUCUUGCAGCAGAGACAUUCAGCAAUCACACAGAAGGUGCACACAGUGCACAUAUGGGUGAUAUUGGGCUGGUAAGGAGGGUGUCCCAUUGUUCAAGUAUUAUCACUAUUUCAAUAUAUGCUGAUAGGGACUAUAUGUGGCUUAAAGUCUUUGUUAUUCUUUAGUUUCUCAAUUGUUUUCAUUUUGUCUCUGCGAUUAAUAAUAUAUUACAGUUUUCUUUUUUUCAGACACUGAUUUCUUAAAUAGUAAGAUGUUAGAAGUGUCACCAAUGGAAAGGUGAUGUGGUGUUAUCAGCUGAUGUCUAAGUAUGUUGCAAUAAACUCUGAAUUCACAA